UACGUAGGGGGCGAGCGUUUGUCCGGAAUUAUUGGGCGUAAAGAGCUCGUAGGCGGUUUGUCGCGUCUGCUGUGAAAACCUAAGGCUCAACCUUGGGCUUGCAGUGGGUACGGGGCAGACUAGAGUGCGGUAGGGGUGACUGGAAUUCCUGGUGUAGCGGUGGAAUGCGCAGAUAUCAGGAGGAACACCGAUGGCGAAGGCAGGUCACUGG
rnacentral:rRNA from 1 species